rnacentral:lncRNA from 1 species
AGUGGCCAUGAUAUUGUAAUGAAAAUAUUUUUUCUUAUCGUCAGCCUUCUUCAGAAUCUAUUUCUUGGACUUAGCCUCGCUCUUUUACUUCUUCAUAGGCUUCUUUUUUUUUAGAGAAGAUUUUCUCUUAGAAAAAAUUUGCUCCAUAGUUAGAAUCAUAUCUCUUAAACUUUUUAAGAUGCCCUCAGCUGUCACCAACAU